CCACAGUACUAAGACUGAGGUACCUGUCUACAUCAAAAGAUGAGUACUACAAUGCAGAUGACUUAGCCAGUUGGCUGACUAGGGAUGUUGGAUGCCAGGUCUCCUCAGAAAGAUCAAAGUUACAGGUGAAUGCCCAUGAUUUAAAUGGAAAUCUGAGGGAAUGAAGCAAGGACCUGUUGGAGCACCCAUGGGAAGAACCUGGGGCACAAAAGAGGAAAGCAGCAAGAGACUGACAGAGAUUGUCUCCCUAGAAACCUGGACCACGAAAAGGGUGGAGAGGAGAAAACUCUGUGCUAAAUAUUACUCCUGGAAAAGUGCAUUUGCUUCGGAGAAAUCUUUAUCAUGGGUCUCUAAGAGGAAGGAACAAUAGCAUCUUCUAUGUGCCGAGGUAGCGCAAUAAUGAACUCUGUUCAAGUGGAUCAAAAGCCAUCAAGGUCAAAAUUAGGCACAGGCUGUACAGGAAGCGUGAUUCUGGCAUCUGUUUGGUUUCUGGGAAGGCCUCAGGAAACUUAAAGUCAUGGAAGAAGGGGAAGGGAGAGCAGGCACGUCUUACAUGACCAAAGCAGGAAGAAGAGAGAGAAGUGUGGAGGUGCUAUACACUUUUAAACAGCCAGAUCUUGUGAGAACUCUGUCAGAAGAACAGCACUAGGGAAAUGGUGCUAAACCAUUCUUGGGGACUCCAUCCCUGUGAUACAAUCACCUCCCACCAGGCCCCACCUCCAACACUGAGAAUUACAACUCAACAUGAGAUUUGGAUGGGGACACAGAUCCAAACCAUAUCAAAUUUUCACACCUUUCAGUAAAGCUUUAUAUUUUUUAAGGAUAUUUAAGUACUUGGAAGUAGAAGUAGAGAGUAAGGGGAAUAUUGUACAGCCAUCACAGCCUUUGUCUACUAAAGAAGUCAGUUUCAUGUGACAAAUGUUCAUU
rnacentral:lncRNA from 1 species